rnacentral:rRNA from 1 species
CCCCUGGACAAAGACUGACGCUCAGGUGCGAAAGCGUGGGGAGCAAACAGGAUUAGAUACCCUGGUAGUCCACGCCGUAAACGAUGUCGAUUUGGAGGUUGUGCCCUUGAGGCGUGGCUUCCGGAGCUAACGCGUUAAAUCGACCGCCUGGGGAGUACGGCCGCAAGGUUAAAACUCAAAUGAAUUGACGGGGGCCCGCACAAGCGGUGGAGCAUGUGGUUUAAUUCGAUGCAACGCGAAGAACCUUACCUGGUCUUGACAUCCACAGAACUUUCCAGAGAUGGAUUGGUGCCUUCGGGAACUGUGAGACAGGUGCUGCAUGGCUGUCGUCAGCUCGUGUUGUGAAAUGUUGGGUUAAGUCCCGCAACGAGCGCAACCCUUAUCCUUUGUUGUCCAGCGGUUCGGCCGGGAACUCAAAGGAGACUGCCAGUGAUAAACUGGAGGAAGGUGGGGAUGACGUCAAGUCAUCAUGGCCUUACGACCAGGCUACACACGUGCUACAAUGGCAUAUACAAAGAGAAGCGACCUCGCGAGAGCAAGCGGACCUCAUAAAGUAUGUCGUAGUCCGGAU